ensembl:lncRNA
AUGAUGUCUCUAGCAGUGUGUACCAUGACAGGGUCGUCCGUGAUGAUAUUUUACAGCAGAUCGCCCAAGAGCUACAUUUAUCAGCUUGAAGACGACACUAGUGCUCAAGGAGGAGCAGACAGUGAUCUGGAAAAUGACACUGAUCUGUCACCUGGUUCAGAGCAGAGUUCUUGUGACACACAAACACUUGUGAAAAGGAACAACCUGCCUCUGGACCACCUGCCUUUGGAAAUACAUCACGUCGGGCCAAGUACAGGCUUCAGAAAAAUAACAACAUUGAGCAACAAAAACUUGCAAUACUCAAUAAGGUUGCAGACCGAAUUUCUAAUAGAGAGGAAAAAGGGGAGAAUUCCUUUGGGAAACAGGUGGGGGAGGAACUUGGCCGAAUUAAAAACCCUGUCCUAGUACUGAGACUAAAAAGAGCCAUAAUGUCUCAGAUUUAUGAUGCUCAAGAAAGUGAAAUUUCUGUGCAUCCUAUGCAAACUCAUCCAGGCUUCCCCAUGUCUGGAAGUUACUUUUCUCCCCAUCCUACAUACAUUGCUAAUCCACCAUCCGCACCCCCACGCCCCUUAAUAUCCCAGCCAAAUUACACAUUAAUGCAUCAGCUAGACGAUACAGGGUGCAAUCAGCUACAAGAGCUGUAGUUGUAUUUUGUUUUUUUGUUUUUUGGCCAUUAUUUUGGCUAGAAUAUGGUUAAAAAAUGCUGUAGGCAACACAGAAAUAAACACAGAAUGCUUAACUUUUGAUUGAUGUAAUUUUAUCUAGUUUUUAUUGGGAUUUUUGUGUUUUGACACAAAAUUUGUUAUUGCAAUUUGUGAUCUUAAAUAUUUUGUGUUUCACUCGCUCAAAAUGUUUGACAUCUUAUAGAACAUGUUGUUAAUAAAAUGCUGGUAAUAACAAGAAAAUAAAAAAUAAUAAUGAAAACAUAGACAAUGAAGUGUUGUUGUUGUUGUUUUUUUAGUUUAUCCAUUACACAUACUGAUCUUGCCAUGGUACACAGCCAGAUGGGGAGAGAAAGUAUUCUUUAAGAUGGUCACGUUGCUCUUUGGCAGCUAUUGCUGGAUUUUCCCCUUCUCCCAUGUUAACUGACUGCAGGGUUCUCUCUUGUCUCCAUGUCCCAUCGUGGAGCUGAUGGUUCUCAUCCUCCCAGUCAGUGUAUCCAGGUGGAAGGUAGACAUCUGAUUGCUUGUGACGUAAGAAAUUGUGAAGGCACGGUGCAGCCAAAGUGACAGUAACUGCUUUGUCAGGAUUAAGGCAGAUGGUUGUGCGGAACACCCUGAGGCGGUUUGCUAGAAUUCCAAAAGCAUUUUCUACAACACGUCUUGCACGGGAUAGCCUUUAGUUGAAAAUGCGUUGUUCAGGCUGUAAUCGUCUGUGGGGGUAAGGCUUCAGCAGGUCAUUUCUCAGUGGGUAAGCUUCAUCUCCCACAAAACAAUAUGGCAUGAUGAUGUUGGUGUUUGGUAGAGCCUCAGCAGGAGGAAGGUUUAAUUUUCUGUCAUCCAAGGCAGCUCGCAAAUCAGACUGUGCAAAUAAACCUGCGUCUGAAACUCUGCCUUGAACUCCCACAUUUGUGUAGAUAAAUCUGUAAUUGGCAUCCACUACAGCCAUCAACAGAAUAAAAAAACCUGGACUUGUAGUUGUAGAAUGUGCUGCCGCUAUUGGCUGGGGGUUGAAUGAAGAUAUGUUUCCCAUCUAUUGCCCCAAGGCAAUGAGGAAAUUGCCACUUCAUGUCAAACUGUUCAGCAAUUUUCCGCCACUGUUCUUCAGAAGUUGGUGUCUGUAAACAUAACAAUACCACAUUAAGAAUGCACAGCUAAAUUGAGAUGAUUACGAUUUUCCGAUAAAUUCACUCGUGACGUGUGCGUGGACAUACGAUCUUCCGACCAUCCGAAUUUGCACCGUGUACGCCCGCCCUAAGGCACAAUAAAGGGUUAGUUAGGGUUAGGGUUAGCAGUGAACUAACCCUUUAGACAUACACAUUACAGACAUAACAUACACACACAUACAUUAAUACAUAGUCAUGGUAUUUUACUUUAUUUCAUUGUACAACCUGAAAAUUAUUAUUAUUAUUAUUAACUGUUAAACUGUUUUGAUUAUACUCUGAUACAUUUAUUGUAACUAACAUGUGUUCUAUAAUUGUAUGUUUUAUAAUUCAGUCUAUGUUAAUGUACAAAUGUUUUUGUUCUAUCACUUUAAUUCUUACAAUUUAAUUUAUUGUUUUAUUAUAACUUCUGUUCACUUAAUAUUUGAAUACUUUUUUAUUUCCAAUUUUACCCUGGCAAUGAAUCUUUUUUCUUUCUUUUUUUUUUUUUUUUUUACACAAUUGUUUAAACUAACACUUUGCUUUUCCAUUUAUUUUGAUAACUUGAUAAUUCAUGUGUUCCUUAAAUGCUGUUUUAUAACAAAGUUCGGGAGGAACAGUCGCAGUUCAUUAACCUGAUUAACACAAGUGGAGACCAAUCAGUAAUCAACUCAUGACAAGGUAUAAAUAACAGCAGAACCUAUCUCUGUUCAUUGACGGUUUUCAGCAUCCCGGUUUGCGCUGUCCGUCAUCUUAUCACAGACGAAAUUUUCCUUCCAACAAGGAGAUCCAUACCGGCGAUUUUUCAGAUCUGCUACUUUGCUGACCAUGAUCAUUAAACACGGCCGUUGAGCACCAUCAAACGUCAUCGCGACAGCUGCUCUUCUUGCCAAGCCACACGUCGUGGCCAAUAGACUGUGCAAAGUUCAAGCUCGCCUCGCUUGACACCACAAUUGAUCCGAUCAAGACCGGGCUCUCUUUGAGCGCUGGAAUCGCAGCACCAGCAGGCAUUCAACCAGCCCGCUCCUCAGUUCUUACCGCAGCAAGCCUCUUUCACUUCCCGCUGCGGCUCAGCCUUUCACCGCGGCUUUUUCCUCCUUCUCUAGCGGCGCAGACCGUGCGUCAUAAAUCAAUACAUUUUCAGAUGAAGACGGUAAAUACAGGUUUGCGGCCAGAAGUAGUGCGAGAGCCGCGUGGAGUUCCGAUCACAUAUGUAUGUGGAAAUUCAGAUCCAAAUUGAGCCUCGGAUGCGUUCAAAUAUUUAAACUUCUGCGACCAGGCCGUGUGCAAACGCCCGACCGGAUGUGAUCUUUCGGUGCGAGGUCAGAAUUACCUAUAUUUUGUUAACCUUGACAUUAUUCUUCAACAUAAUUUAUGUAAAAUGGUGGUUCAUAAUAAUUAUGGCAGAAAUAAUUAUUAAACCAUUAUUUACGUAAUUAGCCCCAGAAAACCUACUGUUUUUAUUUAGGGGGUAAUCUGAUUUGUGACGAUGUAUUCAUACAUUCAUACAAGUUAAGCACGCCUGCCGCGAGAGGGAGAAAUGCGACAAUCGUGUACAAAUGUCGCGUGCUGUGGAAAGGAGGCUUAAAGUUUGUUAAAUCAGGCCAUGAGGUAGUCAUCAUCCACACUGAAAUGUCCAAAGAUAUUAUCUGCCUUACCGUGCAUGUUUUAACCUCACUGAGGUUUUACAGACAAGUUUCAUGCAAUUAUUCUGGCAGGACCAAUUUUCUUGGGGACAUAUUUCACUAUCUACUGGCGUGAUCAUUAUACCCUCGUUUUGCCGCAGGAGUUUUUCUAGGACCGUAAUAUGAAAGCAUGCAAGUAAAUCUCUUUAGAACUGCUUGUAAGUGAACAGCCCAUAACUGCAAUUAACGUUAUUGCCAUAAUCAUGUCUGUUGGUAUGUUUUACAGACAUAAUGAUUUUCAUAGCAUAAUGAUUC